UAAUUUAGAACAUUCAAUUUAUGGAAAGGGGAGGGAGAGGGGGUGUAGCUAAUGUGUCUUCCCAGCAAAACCAAAUCCUUAUUAAAGGUUAAAUACAGCAUUGAUAAUGUGAUUUCCUAACAAAUCCAAAGCUACAUUUUCAACUUUUGAACAACUUUCCUAAAUUGGAUAAAAAGAAAAACUACUUUCCUAAUGCAGAACUAGAGAAGUGAGCAUUUUUAUAAGACUUUUUUUGUUAGUUUGAAAAACAAUGAUUAAGCCAUCAUCCUCAUGACAUGGCUAGCAUUCCAUUCCUUCUUGAGAAAAACAGAGCUCUCAAACUAUAAAAAAUAAAAAUCAAAAAUCAAAUGUACUUCGUAUGGUUGUUAAUAAAUUAUUCAUAAGUGGUUCACUUAUACUCGGUGGGAGCAGUGUUAUUAAAGGCGAUAGGUGCACCAAGGCGCCAAGGUCUCCUGGGACCUAGGCUCAAUGUGCAAGCUUCACCGAAGUGAGGCACACCUUGUACGGAAAAAAAAUAUAUAUAAUUUAAUAUAAGUAAAUAAUUUAGGGUUCAACAUAAACAAAAUGAAAUGUUAAACAUUUAGUGUUUUUUUGGAAAUUAAGAAUUAGGGCUAAUUUUUCUUCUAUCAUUGAUUUGAGAUUGAAUACCCAAUAUAUUGGCAUCUGUAAUAAGAGUAGGGAUAUUCUGUAGUUGCACCAUAUUAAAUCAAUGAUCAGAUUUUAAACAAAACUAGUUAAAGCAACAAUAAAAAAAGCCCUCAAAACGCAAACCUUGGGCCAGUCAGGCGCCUUAUCACAGUCGCCUAGCUUGAAACACUACAAGGCGCAAACCUUGGGCCUAGGCGCACCUUUAAUAACACUGGGUGGGAGGGUACUUCACAUGCAUUAUUGUCAGCAUAUUCUAAAUUUAGUUGUGAAGAAUGGCUUGAGGUAAUAGGCAAAGAAACUGAGAAGAUUCAUGAGUGUCCAUUUUUUGAGGGCAACAUAAUCACGGACCAAAUUUUUUUAAGAGACGGAUACGUGAGCAUUCAUAGUAAUAAGAAGAUAGCAGUUGAUUGUAAAACUCAAUGGAAUUCAAUAUAUUUAAUGCUGCAGAUGGCAAUUAUUUGAAAAGAUAUGUUACCAAGGGUGAAACAAUGUGAGAAGCAUUAUAUGUGUAUAGCCCAUUACAAAUUGUUGUUUUCCGAAAAAUUGUGAGAUUAGUGAGUAGUUGUCUAAGUGGAUAGUAUCAAGGUUGUUAAAAUCGGGAUCCUACGUUGGAUCGUUGGAGGUGUUUAUAGGAUCGGAUCGUAGAAUCGGAUCGAGGAUCGUAAGAUCCUACUGAAAAAGACAGAUUACAUAAUAAUUUAAUUUAAAUAAAUACUUCUUAUAAAGUAUACA